UACAGAGGUGGCAAACGUUGUCCGGAUUUAUUGGGUGUAAAGGGCAUGUAGGUGGUUUUGUAAGUCAAAGGUGAAAUGGCCCGGCUCAACCAGGUCAUUGCCUUUGAAACUGCAAGGCUCGAGUUCGGAAGAGGAAAGCGGAAUUCCCAGUGUAGCGGUGAAAUGCGUAGAUAUCAAGUGGAACACCAGUGGCGAAGGCGAGUCUCUGGACAUUUCCUGACGCUGAGGCACGAAAGCCAGGGGAGCAAACGGG
rnacentral:rRNA from 1 species